rnacentral:rRNA from 1 species
AGCGACAGAAGAAGCACCGGCUAACUCCGUGCCAGCAGCCGCGGUAAUACGGAGGGUGCGAGCGUUAAUCGGAAUUACUGGGCGUAAAGCGCAUGCAGGUGGUUUGGUUUAAGUUCAGAUGUGAAAGACCCGGGGCGUCAACCUCGGAAUAGCAUUUGUAAACUAGGCAGACUAGAGUACUGUAGAGGGGGGUAGGAAGUUUCUAGGUGUAGCGGUGAAAUGCGUAGAGAUCUGAAGGAAUACCGGUGGCGAAGGCGGCCCCCUCGGACAGAUACUGACACUCAGAUGCGAAAGCGUGGGGAGCAAACAGGAUUAGAUACCCCUGGUAG